GACGAACGCUGGCGGCGUGCUUAACACAUGCAAGUCGAACGGAAAGGCUCCAGCUUGCUGGAGUACUCGAGUGGCGAACGGGUGAGUAACACGUGGGUAAUCUGCCCUGCACUCUGGGAUAAGCCUGGGAAACUGGGUCUAAUACUGGAUAUGACCUUUCUCCUUAUGGGGUUUGGUGGAAAGUUUCUCGGUGUAGGAUGAGCCCGCGGCCUAUCAGCUUGUUGGUGGGGUGAUGGCCUACCAAGGCGACGACGGGUAGCCGGCCUGAGAGGGUGAUCGGCCACAUUGGGACUGAGAUACGGCCCAGACUCCUACGGGAGGCAGCAGUGGGGAAUAUUGCACAAUGGGCGGAAGCCUGAUGCAGCGACGCCGCGUGAGGGAUGACGGCCCUCGGGUUGUAAACCUCUUUCAGCAGGGACGAAGCGUAAGUGACGGUACCUGCAGAAGAAGCACCGGCUAACUAUGUG
rnacentral:rRNA from 1 species